UGGGGAAUAUUGGACAAUGGGGGAAACCCUGAUCCAGCCAUGCCGCGUGAGUGAUGAAGGCCUUAGGGUUGUAAAGCUCUUUUGUCAGGGAAGAUGAUGACGGUACCUGAAGAAUAAGCACCGGCUAACUUCGUGCCAGCAGCCGCGGUAAUACGAAGGGUGCUAGCGUUGUUCGGAAUCACUGGGCGUAAAGCGCGCGUAGUCUGUUUUGCAAGUCAGGGGUGAAAUGCCACAGCUCAACUGUGGAACUGCCUCUGAAACUGCAUGACUGGAGUGUCGGAGGGGAUAGCGGAAUUGCUAAUGUAGAGGUGAAAUUCGUAGAUAUUAGCAGGAACACCGGUGGCGAAGGCGGCUAUCUGGACGACAACUGACGAUUAGGCGCGAAAGUGCGGGGAUCAAACAGGAUUAGAUACCCCCGUAGUCC
rnacentral:rRNA from 1 species